rnacentral:misc_RNA from 1 species
AAAGUCGUAACAAGGUUUCCGUAGGUGAACCUGCGGAAGGAUCAUUACCAAACAAGGUCUUUGACCUUUACCCCAUGUGCAUUGUUUAACUGUCCUUGUGAGGUUCGGCAUGAUGGUGAUUUUACCAUUACCAACUUGUCAGCCUCACAUACAUUAUGCUUAACCCCUUAACAAUUUUUGUGAUGGUGGAUUUAAAAAAAAACAAAAGACAACUUUUAACGGUGGAUCUCUUGGCUCAU